CUUUCUGCACAGGUUGGGAUUGGUUGCAAUGCUGUCUGUUUGUGUGGUAUUGCACUUGUCCCGGCCUGUUGAGGAUAG